rnacentral:lncRNA from 1 species
GGAGAAUUGGGGAAAUUUGGGGUCAUUUUAUGGGAUUUUGGGGAGAAUUGGGGGAAAUUUGGGUCAUUUGGGGUCUAUUUAUGGGAUAUUGGGGAAAAUUUGGGUCCUUUUGGGGCCUUUUAUGGGAUUUUGGGGAGAAUUGGGUGAAAUUUGGGUCAUUUUGGGUCAUUUUAUGGGAUUUUGGGGAGAAUUGGGUGAAAUUGGGGUCAUUUGGGGUCAUUUUAUGGGAUUUUGGGGGAGAAUUGGGGGAAAUUUGGGUCAUUUGGGGUCAUUUUGUGACAUUCUAUGGGAUUUUAGGGAGAAUUGGGGAAAGUUUGGGUCAUUUGGUA